rnacentral:sRNA from 1 species
AAUUGCACUAUCUAAUCAAUAGGUGCGCCUUCCGCCAGAGGUCAACAGAAUUUUGUAUGUCAAGAAUCUUCCCUAUAAGAUUUCAGGGGAGGAGAUGUAUGACAUAUUUGGCAAGUAUGGAGCCAUCCGACAGAUUCGUGUAGGGAAUACCCCGGAGACAAAAGGCACAGCGUUUGUUGUUUAUGAAGAUAUAUUUGAUGCAAAGAAUGCUUGUGAUCAUCUUUCUGGUUUCAAUGUC